rnacentral:rRNA from 1 species
UACGAAGGGGGCUAGCGUUGCUCGGAAUCACUGGGCGUAAAGCGCACGUAGGCGGCUUCUUAAGUCAGGGGUGAAAUCCUGGAGCUCAACUCCAGAACUGCCUUUGAUACUGAGGAGCUUGAGUCCGGGAGAGGUGAGUGGAACUGCGAGUGUAGAGGUGAAAUUCGUAGAUAUUCGCAAGAACACCAGUGGCGAAGGCGGCUCACUGGCCCGGUACUGACGCUGAGGUGCGAAAGCGUGGGGAGCAAACAGGA